AUACGUAGGGGGCGAGCGUUGUCCGGAAUGAUUGGGCGUAAAGGGCGCGUAGGCGGCCCGGUAAGUCUGGAGUGAAAGUCCUGUUUUUAAGAUGGGAAUUGCUUUGGAUACUGUCGGGCUUGAGUGCAGGAGAGGUAAGUGGAAUUCCCAGUGUAGCGGUGAAAUGCGUAGAGAUUGGGAGGAACACCAGUGGCGAAGGCGACUUACUGGACUGGAACUGACGCUGAGGCGCGAAAGUGUGGGGAGCAAACAGGAUUAGAUACCCUGGUAGUCCACACGGUAAACGAUGAAUGCUAGGUGUAGGGGGUAUCGACCCCUUCUGUGCCGCAGUCAACACAAUAAGCAUUCCGCCUGGGGAGUACAGCCGCAAGGUUGCAACUCAAAUGAAUUGACGGGG
rnacentral:rRNA from 1 species